AAUCUUCCACAAUGGGCGAAAGCCUGAUGGAGCAACGCCGCGUGUGUGAUGAAGGCUUUCGGGUCGUAAAGCACUGUUGUAUGGGAAGAACAGCUAGAAUAGGAAAUGAUUUUAGUUUGACGGUACCAUACCAGAAAGGGACGGCUAAAUACGUGCCAGCAGCCGCGGUAAUACGUAUGUCCCGAGCGUUAUCCGGAUUUAUUGGGCGUAAAGCGAGCGCAGACGGUUUAUUAAGUCUGAUGUGAAAGCCCGGAGCUCAACUCCGGAAUGGCAUUGGAAACUGGUUAACUUGAGUGCAGUAGAGGUAAGUGGAACUCCAUGUGUAGCGGUGGAAUGCGUAGAUAUAUGGAAGAACACCAGUGGCGAAGGCGGCUUACUGGACUGCAACUGACGUUGAGGCUCGAAAGUGUGGGUAGCAAACA
rnacentral:rRNA from 1 species